GAAACCAAGAAACAGAGAGGAUAAGUAAUUUGCCUAAGAACACACGGCUCGAAAUGGUAACAUUUGGAUUUGCACCCAGGGAGUCUAGCUCAAGAGUCCUUGCUGUUAACAUCUAUCCUACCACGCCACAUUGCAACCCACGUGUGGGACCCCGGAGCCCGGCCUGCCUAGGUCUGGGGGCGCAUGUUCCUGCGGCCUUCAUCUCCUGGCUUCAGUGAUGGCUCUGGCCCCCAGACUCCCCACCUUCUAGGUCCAAGGAGGCUGUAGUUGCGGGAUCUCUGGGCCUCUGUCACUGCAAGGCCUCUGCUUACCCUGUGAUUUCUUUUUCUUUCUUUUCUUCUCUCUCUUUUUGAAGCUCUCUAGUUCAGCACAGCACAGUGCUGCCCUUCUUUGUCAGUUUAAUUGCAUUUUCCAACAAGAUACACUGAAGUCCUGACCCCAGGUCCCCAGAGUGUGCCUUUAUGUGGAAAUGGGGUGGGGGCGGUGCUACAGAUGCAAUUAGGUAAGAUGAGGUCAUAGGGGAGAAGGGAGGGCCCUUAAUCCAAGAUCACUGGUGUCUUUAUCAGAAGAGGGAAGUUUGGACGCAGAUGCGUGGAGAGAACACCAUGUGAAGACAGAGGCAGUCACUGGACGGAUGCGUCUACAAGCCAGGGAGUGCCAAGGAUUAGCCACAGCCACCGGAGGCUGGGCGACAAGCAUGGGAUGGGUUCUCUCUCAAAGCCUCCAGAAAGAACCAACCAACCCUGCUGAUGCUUUGAUUUUGGAUGUCUCACCUCCAGAACCACAGACAACAAGCUGGUUGCUCGAAGCCACCCAGUUUGCGGUGCUCUGCUACGGCAGCCCGAGUGAAGGAACACCCUCCUUUGCCGUGGCUGCUCCCUCUGUCCCCAUCCCCACCACUGCCCUCUCUCACAGUGCCGCUCCGGCCCCUCUGGCUUCCUCGCCCCUCCAGUCGGGACUCCAGGGCCUCAGGACCUUUGCACUUGCUGGGCCCUCUUGCUGAAGAUAUGAUUUCCCUCAGAUGUUCACAUGGUGCCUUCCUUCAUCAUACAUUCCUGGGCAGGCUGGAGAGGCUUAAGGACCACUACUCAUACUUCAGGUCCUCUGGUCCUCAGGCAGACUACUAAAAUCUGCCCGCAACUGUAAACAACACCAAAGAUCUCAACAAAUAUUCACCAGAAGAAGCAAACCUCCUGCAAGGAGCUUGCUGAGGAACGGACAUUCUAGAGCUAGCUUGAGUUGGCUUGCCCACCCGGGAUCUUCUGGCUCUUCUCUUCCACUGCGUCGUGUCGGAGAUCAGCUGUCUGAAGUAGAAACAACAACGUGUCGGUCCGCAAGGUCUUUGGCCUCCAAAAGUCACAGAGAAGCCAAUAAUGAAUGUCUUGGGACAUUCAGCAAACUGGAAGCCCUGACAAAACUGAUAGAUUUGGUGACGGCUGUGACAAGAGAGCAUGACUGAAGAGGAGGAAUCAGGUCAAGGAGCAACCGACACCAGGCAAACAGAAACCACCUCACACCCCUGAGGGUCAAAAAAGAACAAAACAGAAACAAAAACAACAACAAAACAAAAGGACCACAAGGAAACCCCAGCAAAUAAGAGUCGGGUAUUUGGUGAGAAAACAGCAACAACAACAACAACCAACCAAGAGUGACCCUUUUGGGACUCUCCAUCCUCUGCCUGACUUCUCCCCCAGAGCCACAGACCAACGUGCAAAAGGCAGGGGCCCGCAGAAGCCAAGUCCUGCUCUCUGGGUUACAAACACCAAAUGACGGUUGUGUGCUCGGGUAUUUUAUCUCUGUAAUGUGAGCCCACGUCAAGUGGGAGCACAAAUAAAAAUU